rnacentral:rRNA from 1 species
GGCACCUAUGCCGCCCGGGGGAUGGCUCGGCUCGGGCGCCGAGGAAGGGCGUGGCAAGCUGCGAUAAGCCCGGGGUAGGCGCAGGCAGCCGUCGAACCCGGGAUCCCCGAAUGGGACUUCCCGCUGCGGGUGAAGAGCCCGCAGCGCCCCCGUUUGGGGGCGGGAACCCCCCGAAAGGAAGCAUCUGAGUAGGGGGAGGAGAAGAAACCAACAGGGAUUCCCUGAGUAGGGGCGACCGAAAGGGGGAGAGCCCAAACCAAUCCCCCACGGGAGGACCGUGGGGGGAUGAGGGGUUGCGGCCCUGCGGCUGGGGCUUCGAGCCCCGGCGGGCCGACCCACGGUAGCCGAAGUGGGCUGGAAUGCCCCGCCGUAGAGGAUGAUAGCCCCGUAGGCGAAACCGUGGGGGCCCGUGCCGCAGGGCAGAGUACCACGGCUUGGUAUUGCCGUGGGAAGCUGGGAGGAACCGACUUCCAAGGCUAAAUACGUCCCGAGACCGAUAGCGAACUAAGUACCGUGAGGGAAAGCUGAAAAGAACCCCGGGAGGGGGGUGAAAAGAGCCUGAAACCGGGCGGCGACAUACGGUGCGGCCCGAAAGGGGUGAAACCCCCGAAGGAAACCCGGGCGACCGGGGAGUACGAGGGGGCUGGACCGGGGUCGCACCGUCCGUCUUGAAACACGGGCCGGGGAGUUCACGGCCGUGGCGAGCUUAAGGGGGUCAACCCCGUAGGCGCAGGGAAACCGACAGGCCCGCAGCCGGGGGCGACCCCGGCGAGGGGCGGGGUCCUAAUAGGGCCCGGAGUCACGGCCGUGAGACCAGAAACCGGGCGAUCUAGGCGGGGGCAGGGCGAAGCCGGGGGAAACCCCGGUGGAGGCCCGCAAGGGUGCUGACGUGCAAAUCGCUCCCCUGACCCCCGUCUAGGGGUGAAAGGCCAAUCUAGCCCGGAAGAUAGCUGGUUCCCGCCGAAGUGGCUCGCAGGCCAGCCCCGCCGGAGGCCGGGCCGUGGGGUAGAGCUACUGAUUGGGCGUGCAGGGGGCGUAAAGCCCCCGGCGCCCAGUCAAACUCCGAACCUGCGGCCGCCGUAGAUGGCGGGAGUGGGGUUCCCCGGGGUAAGCCCGGGGGCCGAGAGGGGAACAACCCAGACCGGGGUUAAGGCCCCUAAGUGCCGGCUAAGUGCCAAGCCAAAGGGCGUCCCCCGCCUAAGACAGCGGGGAGGUGGGCCUAACAGCAGCCAUCCUCUAAGGAGUGCGUAACAGCUCACCCGCCGAGGCGGGGGGCCCCGAAGAUUGGUCGGGGCUUAAGCCGGCCGCCGAGACCCCGGGCCGCGGCUCCGAUGGAGCCGCGUGCGGUAGGCGGGCGUCGGGGUGGCGUAGAAGCCGGGCCGCGAGGUCCGGUGGAGCCGCCCCGAGUGCGGAUCCCGGCGGUAGUAACAGCGAAGCGGGGUGAGAAUCCCCGCCGCCGGAAAGGGCAAGGGUUCCCCGGCAAUGGUCGUCAGCCGGGGGUCAGCCGGUCCUAACCGGGACCGUAACACGGAUCCCGGGAAGGGGAAACGGGUUAACAUUCCCGUGCCGCGGGGGUACGCUUCGCGGCAACGCAAGGCCCCACCCCCGACGCCUCGGGGUAGGCGGACCGGGGGCCCCCUUAGGGGGGCGACCCGGCUAACCUGCCGAAGGCCGGGGAGUGCCGUAACGGCGAGAACCGGCCGAAGGGGGGAAUGGCCCGCCUAUGGCGGGUUCCGCCGACCCCUGGGGCCCUUGAAAAGGGGGUGGGGAAGGAUCCCCCGCGCCCGUACCGAGAACCGACACAGGUGCCCCUGGGUGAGCAGCCCAAGGCGUCUGGGGGCUAACCCGGGCCAGGGAACUCGGCAAAUUGGCCCCGUAACUUCGGGAGAAGGGGUGCCUGCGGUCCUGGGGCCCGAACCCUGGGACCGCAGGUCGCAGUGCCUAGGGGGGCCUGACUGUUUAACAAAAACAUAGCUCCCCGCUAGCCCGAAAAGGGUGUGUACGGGGGGUGAGCCCUGGCCACUGGCGGUCCGUGAAACCGGGGUACAACCCGGCGAAGCGCCGCUGAAGGCCGGGAGUAACCCUGACUCUCUUAAGGUAGCCAAAUGCCUUGCCGGGUAAGUUCCGGCGCGCAUGAACGGGUCAACGAGGUCCCCACUGUCCUGGCCCGGGGCCCCGUGAACCCCCUGAGCCGGUGCACAGUCCGGCAUCCCCCCGCAGGGAGAGAAGACCCCGUGGAGCUUUACCGCAGCCCGGCGUUGGCCCCCGGGUGGGGGUGCGUAGCGUAGGUGGGAGCCGAUGAGCCACCCUCUCCGGGGGGUGGGGAGGCGUCCAUGAAACACCACCCACCCCCGCCCGGGGGCCUAACCCCGCCCCGGGUGGGCGGGGGACAGCGUCGGGUGGGCGGUUUGGCUGGGGCGGCACGCCCGCGAAAGGGUAACACGGGCGCCCAAAGGUCGGCUCAGGCGGGUCAGAACUCCGCCGUGGAGUGCAAGGGCAAAAGCCGGCCUGACCGGACCUCUGAAAGCAAGGGGUCCGGCCGGGAAACCGUGGCCUAGCGCACGCUCGUGCCCCCUCGGUGGGGGCCGGGCACGACAGAAAAGUUACCCCGGGGAUAACAGAGUCGUCGCGGGCGAGAGCCCCCAUCGACCCCGCGGUUUGCUACCUCGAUGUCGGCUCUUCCCAUCCUGGGGGUGCAGCAGCCCCCAAGGGUGGGGCUGCCCGCCCAUUAAAGGGGAACGUGAGCUGGGUUCAGACCGUCGUGAGACAGGUCGGUCUCUACCCGCGGGGGGUGUGGGCCGCCUGAGGGGAAGGUGCCCUUAGUACGAGAGGAACGGGGCGCCGCGGCCUCUGGUGUACCGGUUGUCCUGGUGGGCAACGCCGGGCAGCUAAGCCGUAGGGGGUAACCGCUGAAAGCAUCUAAGCGGGAACCCCUCCCCGAAAAGAGGCGGCCGUUGGGCGCCGGCCUGGUGCCGGCGUCCACGAGGGCUCCCGUAGAAGACGGGGUUGAUGGGGCGGGGGUGUGAGCCCCGAGGGGGCUUAGCCCUCGAGGGGUGUAGCCCGCCGCUCCCAAUCGCCCGAGGCCG